rnacentral:rRNA from 1 species
CCUGCCUUCAGGAUGGGGACAACAGACGGAAACGACUGCUAAUACCGAAUAAGUUCCAAGAGCCGCAUGGCCCAUGGAAGAAAAGGUGGCCUCUACCUGUAAGCUAUCGCCUGAAGAGGGGCUUGCGUCUGAUUAGCUGGUUGGAGGGGUAACGGCCCACCAAGGCGACGAUCAGUAGCCGGUCUGAGAGGAUGAACGGCCACACUGGAACUGAGACACGGUCCAGACUCCUACGGGAGGCAGCAUG